UACGUAGGGUGCAAGCGUUGUCCGGAAUUAUUGGGCGUAAAGAGCUCGUAGGCGGUCUGUCGCGUCUGCUGUGAAAACUCAGGGCUUAACCCUGAGCUUGCAGUGGGUACGGGCAGACUAGAGUGCGGUAGGGGAAACUGGAAUUUACGGUGUAGCAGUGAAAUGCGUAGAGAUCGUAAGGAAGACCAGUGGCGAAGGCGAGUUUCUGGACGGUAACUGACGCUGAGGCACGAAGGCCAGGGGAGCAAACGGG
rnacentral:rRNA from 1 species